rnacentral:lncRNA from 1 species
UGCAUCAUCAGCGCAGGGAACGGGUCCCACCCCACCAUUACUGGAGCUCUGCGAGGAAAGCCAACUAACCACACCAUCGCGCAGACACUACUGGCAAGCAGCCGCACUGUCAGCCAGCACAGCGAUCACGUCGCGACAAAUGGCCCACUCGCCCUGGCCACCAAGUCUGCAAUGAACAAGAGCCUGGAGGAAAAGAUGAAAGAAUGUGACGAGAACGGAAUCAUGGCCGAGGUUACCUCCGUCAGCGGCUCAAACAAGUACAAAGAAAACAUUACCACCGGCGCAGGUGACAACAUGUACACCAACACCGUUCUCAUGGAGUGCUCACGCCAGGCAGGAGCUCACCUGGCAUUGUGCAGCGACAAGUGGA